GAGUUUGAUCAUGGCUCAGAACGUACGCUGGCGGCACGCCUAACACAUGCAAGUCGAACGAAGUAGCAAUACUUAGUGGCAGACGGGUGAGUAACAUGUGGGUAUCUACCCUUUGGCCUGGAAUAACACGAGGAAACUUGUGCUAAUACCGGAUAAGUCUUUACGGAGAAAGCUUUAUGCACCAUUGGAUGAGCCCGCACUUGAUUAGUUUGUUGGUAGGGUAAUGGCCUACCAAGACUAUGAUCAAUAGCUGAUUUGAGAGGAUGAUCAGCCACAUUGGGACUGAGACACGGCCCAAACUCCUACGGGAGGCAGCAGUGGGGAAUCUUGCACAAUGGAGGAAACUCUGAUGCAGCGAUGCCGCGUGAGUGAAGAAGGCCUUUGGGUUGUAAAGCUCUUUCGUCGGGGAAGAAAAUGACUGUACCCGAAUAAGAAGGUCCGGCUAACUUCGUGCCAGCAGCCGCGGUAAUACGAAGGGACCUAGCGUAGUUCGGAAUUACUGGGCUUAAAGAGUUCGUAGGUGGUUGAAAAAGUUGGUGGUGAAAUCCCAGAGCUUAACUCUGGAACUGCAUCCAAAACUGAUUCACUAGAGUACGAUAGAGGGAGGUAGAAUUCACAGUGUAGCGGUGGAAUGCGUAGAUAUUGUGAAGAAUACCAGUGGCGAAGGGCGGCCUCCUGGAUCUGUACUGACACUGAGGUGCGAAAGCGUGGGUAGCGAACAGGAUUAGAUACCCUGGUAGUCCACGCCGUAAACGAUGACAACUAGCUGUUGGGAGACUAUGUCUUUCAGUGGCGCAGCUAACGCUUUAAGUUGUCCGCCUGGGGAGUACGGCCGCAAGGCUAAAACUCAAAUGAAUUGACGGGGACCCGCACAAGCGGUGGAGCAUGUGGUUUAAUUCGAUGCAACGCGAAAAACCUUACCAGGUCUUGACAUCCUGCGAAUUUUCUAGAGAUAGAUUAGUGCCUUCGGGAACGCAGUGACAGGUGCUGCAUGGCUGUCGUCAGCUCGUGUCGUGAGAUGUUGGGUUAAGUCCCGUAACGAGCGCAACCCUUGUCCUUAGUUGCCAGCACAUAAUGGUGGGAACUCUAAGGAGACUGCCGGUGACAAACCGGAGGAAGGUGGGGACGACGUCAAGUCAUCAUGGCCCUUACGACCUGGGCUACACACGUGCUACAAUGGAACGCACAGAGGGCUGCAAAGGCGCGAGCUGGAGCGAAUCCCACAAAACGUUUCGUAGUCCGGAUUGGAGUCUGCAACUCGACUCCAUGAAGUCGGAAUCGCUAGUAAUCGUGAAUCAGAAUGUCACGGUGAAUACGUUCCCGGGCCUUGUACACACCGCCCGUCACACCAUGGGAGUGGGUUGCAAAAGAAGUGGGUAGACUAACCUUCGGGAGGUCGCUCACCACUUUGUGAUUCAUGACUGGGGUGAAGUCGUAACAAGGUAACC
rnacentral:rRNA from 1 species